AAAGCAUUCUCUGGUGUUGAAGGCCCUGCAAAGCAGCAUCGCGGUGGCGGAGCGUCGUUUGCGACGCCCAACACACAAAACAAGCGGUGAAUGCUUUGGGGUGGGGUGACUGCGUACCUUUUGUAUAAUGGGUCAGCGACUUAUAUUCUGUAGCAAGGUUAACCGAAUAGGGGAGCCGGAGGGAAACCGAGUCUUAAUUGGGCGUUAAGUUGCAGGGUAUAGACCCGAAACCCGGUGAUCUAGCCAUGGGCAGGUUGAAGGUUGGGUAACACUAACUGGAGGACCGAACCGACUAAUGUUGAAAAAUUAGCGGAUGACCUGUGGCUGGGGGUGAAAGGCCAAUCAAACCGGGAGAUAGCUGGUUCUCCCCGAAAGCUAUUUAGGUAGCGCCUCGUGAAUUCAUCUCCGGGGGUAGAGCACUGUUUCGGCUAGGGGGCCAUCCCGGCUUACCAACCCGAUGCAAACUGCGAAUACCGGAGAAUGUUAUCACGGGAGACACACGGCGGGUGCUAACGUCCGUCGUGAAGAGGGAAACAACCCAGACCGCCAGCUAAGGUCCCAAAGUCAUGGUUAAGUGGGAAACGAUGUGGGAAGGCCCAGACAGCCAGGAUGUUGGCUUAGAAGCAGCCAUCAUUUAAAGAAAGCGUAAUAGCUCACUGGUCGAGUCGGCCUGCGCGGAAGAUGUAACGGGGCUAAACCAUGCACCGAAGCUGCGGCAGCGAACGUAUCACCCAAGACAACUUUACGGAGUUGACGAUUGACGGAGCGAAGCGACGUCAAAGCGUUCAUUAAAGUCGAGUUGGCUUAGGGAUACGUUCGUUGGGUAGGGGAGCGUUCUGUAAGCCUGUGAAGGUGUGUCGUGAGGCAUGCUGGAGGUAUCAGAAGUGCGAAUGCUGACAUAAGUAACGAUAAAGCGGGUGAAAAGCCCGCUCGCCGGAAGACCAAGGGUUCCUGUCCAACGUUAAUCGGGGCAGGGUGAGUCGACCCCUAAGGCGAGGCCGAAAGGCGUAGUCGAUGGGAAACGGGUUAAUAUUCCCGUACUUGGUGUU
rnacentral:rRNA from 1 species